GGUGGCCACCGCGGGGGAGGGGAGCGCGGGGCACCCGGCCCGUCGCCUGCGGCCACUCGCGCCAUUUCCUGGACGAGCGCGGCGCGAUGGAGACGGCGGCGGCCAAAGGUCCCUGCGGCGCGGAGGCCUGCACCCAGAAUGCCCCUAGCUGCUCCCCCGCUGCCCCUUCCUCCUCCUCCUCCUUCCCUUGCGCCCCGCCCGUCCCUCCUCCUCGACCAUUUCUCGGCUCCUAGGAAACGGAUCGCGGCCGGUGCGCUUUGCCCAGACUGCGCCCCCGCCUGGUUCCCGGGACUCCCGGGCCAAAGGCAGGCUUUCGGCUAGGAAGGCGGGUGCGCUUCGGCCGGGAGCAGCGGCGCGGGCCCCCCUUUACAGACUCCGGCCGGGCCUGGGCGCCCUCUACUGGCCAAACUCCUGGGGGUGCUCUCGAGGCCAGACGGGAACACUGGAGAAAGAUAAUGGGGGUGGGGGCUUGGGGAGAGGACCCAGUCUCCCCUUAUUCAGGGGACCUCUAGUGCGGAGAGAGCAUCCGUCCGCGCGUCUGUAACUUCACGCGGGAAUAAGAAACUUUCCUCCUGAGGGAGUUAUUUAUUUAUUUAUUUAUUAUCUCAAACUACUGGAGAAGGGGGAAAUUUUCUCAUUAAAGUUACAUCCCCGCAGUUAGUUCAAUUACUUGAUAUAUGCAGAAGAUGUUGUAAAUUUAUAGAUUUAAAUAGCUUACAAAGAUGCCGCAGGCCCCAUCAGUUAAUUUCCUUAAUUUAUGGAUUUUAAGCUGCUCCUAGAACAGAAAGGGGCCCGCGAAGUAGGUCAGGGAUCUGUGCUGUGGGGGCCCAUGGUCGCCCACGUUUGCUUCCCAGGCUCUGAAACCACCCUGGACUAGCUCCCAGCUUUGCUUAAACAGUGCUACUCUUCUGGUGAGCAUGCAGGUGAGGGAGGUCCUGUUCGGCUGGAUGGUCUGCUCAGUUCUUUGCUGGCUUCCCCAGGCUUUGGACAGCUCAAGGUAGUAGAACUUAGAAACAGUAAACCCCCCCAGUGUUGAAAAAGCUGACCCUUAGAAUGAGGUGAAAAGCACUUUGCAAGAAUGGUGACCUCAGUAGAGCAAGCUGCUAUGUGAAUGCCCUCAGCUUCAGAGAGAAAACCUUUCCUAGGCUUUGAAACAGGGAGAGCCAGGAGAGUAUGCUAGGCUCACUUGAGGAGUGACGCUCUGAAAACUGCUUGUCACCGCCCGACGGGCCUCAGUACCCCCUCUCUUCUUGUCACCUGCAUGGCUGUGGGUGAGUCUUUGUUUUGUGUUCAAUACGGGUGAAUACAUACAUAUAAAUUCAUACUUAAAAGAUUGGAAUAAACUCAACUGUUUUAGGAAGCC
rnacentral:lncRNA from 1 species